AUCACUGAAAACGCACACUUUGAAACGAUCACGCCACUAUAUCACCCCACUUCCGCCGUCAAUCAAAAGUGUAUAAAAAGGCAUCCUAAUACUUUAAUCUGGCAUAACACAUUAUUUGUACAAUUUUAUUCAUUGUCUUCACUUUAUUUCAACGAAAACCAACUAAAAACCAAAAAUGGGCGCUGAAAAAGUAACCAUGAACAUCGUCGUUGUUGGACAAGUCCAAUCAGCUAAGGCCAUCAAAUCGGUCGCCAAAGCCAGCCCAGCCACCAACCAAUUGAUGAACUGUUAAUUCAUUGUGUCUAUCAAUUUCAAGUUUAAUCAUACCAUAGCCCAAACAGUACAUUGUAAUAUGUAUUGACAUUGCAAAAUAAAUAAAUAUUAUCCGUA